rnacentral:rRNA from 1 species
GUCCACGCCGUAACGAUGGAUACUAGCUGUUGGGAGCAAUCUCAGUGGCUAAGCGAAAGUGAUAAGUAUCCCACCUGGGGAGUACGUUCGCAAGAAUGAACUCAAAGGAAUUGACGGGGCCCGCACAAGCGGUGGAGCAUGUGGUUUAAUUCGAUGAUACGCGAGGAACCUUACCAAGGCUUAAAUGUAGAUUGACCGGUUUGGAAACAGACCUUUCGCAAGACAAUUUACAAGGUGCUGCAUGGUUGUCGU